UUAUUUUUAGGAUCAAUUCUUACUAUUUACUAACUACUAACUGUGACUUGCCCUCAGUAAAUUUCUAAUUAAUGUUUAUUAAUAGUUAGUAAGGUAGUUGUUAAAUUAAGGUUUUGGGUAGGAUUAAGAGAUUAAGGGAUAUAGAAUAUGGUCAUGGAGAAUAUAUCAUGCAUUAAUACACUUCCAAUAUGCUAGUAAUAUGCAUGCUAAUAAGCAACUUGUUUAUAGUGAGAAUUGGUCCCAAAACUGAAGUGUUAGCGUAUAUAUUUUUGAUGUCAAUGUCCUUAUGACAUCAAAUGUAAAGAAAAAAUGUGCAGUUUAUUGAUAAUGGGCUAUAAAUGCCAAAUAAUUAUUACACUGCAAAUGACAUGCUGUUUCAGAGCUGUCAUUAGUUGAAGAAUGAGAAAAUGCUGGACUAAUUUUAAUAGAUGUAAAAUAAUAAUAAUAAAAUACUCGGCCUGGUAAUAGAAAAAGUUUGCAUGCAUUUGGAAAGCUCAACAGAAUCAAUGAAUAUGGACAUUUCAAAAUGUGGGGGGAAUAAAUCUGUGGCACUAGCUAAAUAGAAAUGCAAAAAAUACUGAUUGGCCAUUAGUCAGUCGGUACUAAAACUUCCACCAUAAACUCACAACACUGAAUGAGCCAAUCUUGCUGCUGUACUGUAUGUCAAGCUGGUCAGAAUGCUUAAACAUUAUUAUACUGUAGUUCAUUUGCAUAUUUAGCUUAAAGAGAAUUACGUAUUUUAACAUCUAAAGUGCACAUAUCAUGUCUAAUGCAUUGCAGGCCACUAAACUAGAGAUGAGGAAAAAGCAAGAAGACGAACAGAGACAGAAGCUGUACCAAGAUGACAAGCAAAUGAAAACAGAGGAGUUUCUUCAAAGAAUGGAGAGGUCCAGCAGUAGCGUUUCUAUGGCAGCAAGCAGUUCCAUACCAGCAUCAUCCUGGGUAAGACAGAGGCCAAAAAUGCACUGUGUGCUCUACAGGCCUGAGUUCAAGCCUCUUGUGCAUAGCUGUGGCACUGAGGUUGCAGCCCAAGGCCCUGGAAUAAUUCACACCAGUUGAUCUGUCUUUAAAACAUGUUUUCAAAGCAAACAGUGCUCUCUCGGGAGCUUUCCUUGACAUGGCACACUGGACUGCAGCACAGAGUCGGCCUGCUGCAGAGCUCAGUCCCCUUCAAUUAUCUCCUCAUUAGCCUCACACCGGAGAUCGCUGACUGAGUCCAUCAUACAGCUUCCUCAGUUGUAAACACACAGCCUUUUUUUUCACGGUCAGCCAGCGCAAAGACGCAAGUGUUGCUUCUGUAUGGUGAGGCAAGCAGAGUUCAGGGGACUUCCCAGAGUUCACAGCGAAACCGCCUCACAAAAGGCAGAGAGGGGUCUGUGAGAAUGCAACAAAAAGAGAGACUGGUGUGGAAUAACCUGUAUGGUUUGAGUGAAAGUACCUGGAAAGGAGCCAGAGGCUAAGCCUGUGACAUACUGUACACAAUCUGACAGGAUGUGUUUAGAGGUGUUAAUUACAGCUAAGCCACAUGAUUUCACUUGAAUUCUGAGCAAGUUCGGUAUGCUUCAGAAUGCUCUUGUGGUCACCAAACACUGAGAUAUAGAUCAUGCAGUGCCUGUAUUUUUAUUUUAUUUAUUUAUUUAUUGGCAAACCUUUUCUUUAAAGUUCUGCUUGAAGAAUCAUCAAAAGUAUGAAGAUCUCCACCAUGCUGGAGGCAGCAGAAAUACCUUUCAUUAGGGGGUAAUAUUUAACCCCUUAUUGUAAAAUGGGAAAAGUUUUGGCAUAAAGUCAAACUAUGCAAAUGCAAAUUAGCAAAAUAAAUUGAAGACAGCCUGGACAACAUAACACAAGGCUUUCAAUGCUUUUGAAAUAAGUCUUAUAUGCUCA
rnacentral:lncRNA from 1 species